rnacentral:rRNA from 1 species
GAGUUUGAUCCUGGCUCAGAUUGAACGCUGGCGGAAUGCUUUACACAUGCAAGUCGAACGGCAGCAUAGAGAGCUUGCUCUCUGAUGGCGAGUGGCGAACGGGUGAGUAAUAUAUCGGAACGUGCCUAGUAAUGGGGAAUAACUAGCUGAAAGGUUAGCUAAUGCCGCAUACGACCUACGGGUGAAAGCAGGGGAUCUUCGGACCUUGCGUUAUUAGAGCGGCCGAUAUCUGAUUAGCUUGUUGGUGGGGUAAUGGCCUACCAAGGCGACGAUCAGUAGCUGGUCUGAGAGGACGAUCAGCCACACUGGAACUGAGACACGGUCCAGACUCCUACGGGAGGCAGCAGUGGGGAAUUUUGGACAAUGGGGGCAACCCUGAUCCAGCCAUUCCGCGUGAGUGAAGAAGGCCUUCGGGUUGUAAAGCUCUUUCGCAAGAGAAGAAAACUUUCUAUCUAAUAAAUAGUAAGUAUGACGGUAUCUUGACAAGAAGCACCGGCUAACUACGUGCCAGCAGCCGCGGUAAUACGUAGGGUGCAAGCGUUAAUCGGAAUUACUGGGCGUAAAGCGUGCGCAGGCAGUUUUAUAAGUCAGAUGUGAAAUCCCCGAGCUCAACUUGGGAACUGCGUUUGAAACUAUAAGACUAGAGUGUGUCAGAGGGGGGUAGAAUUCCAAGUGUAGCAGUGAAAU